AUUAAAUCUAUGAUGAGGUAAAAGUUAAAGGAAUCUUGUAUUCACAGAGAGCCGGUGGUGCUGGGACCCGGCAAUACAACCUUUAGCGACAUCCCCUCGGAGUGAAGUGUUGAACGGGAAACCAAUUAGAUACUUCCGGGUGUAGUAAAUUAGCUACUCUCGUUAAAAAUGGAUGGUCGGCAAUUUGUCGGUUGUCUGCGAGGUAGCGGUUGCGCUGCGAACUAGGGUGGUACCAUGAAAAGAAUUUCAUCCCUAUA
rnacentral:ncRNA from 1 species